rnacentral:rRNA from 1 species
UACAGAGGUCCCGAGCGUUGUUCGGAUUCACUGGGCGUAAAGGGUGCGUAGGUGGUGAGGUAAGUCGGAUGUGAAAGCUCCAAGCUCAACUUGGAAAUGGCAUUGGAAACUACCUUGCUAGAGGGUUUGAGGGGGGACUGGAAUACUUGGUGUAGCAGUGAAAUGCGCAGAUAUCAGGAGGAACACCAGUGGCGAAGGCGGUGCUCUGGGCCGGAACUGACGCUGAGGAGCGAAAGCGUGGGGAGCAAACAGG